CUAAAGGGUCCAAGUGGGCAGAGGAGUCUAUUCCCACAUUAGCUCAGAGUGGAAUCACAAUUUGAGAUUUGUCCUCCCACCCCCUCUUCUACCUUUUUGGUGCUGUAAGACCAUAAAAAGGAUUAAAGACUCUGACUUGCUGACUGGGGAGCCCUCCAAGUAGGCUUAGAGUAAUGGAGCCCUACAUGUGAACUCUCCUUGGAGAGGGUCUUGUCACAGCUUUCAGCCUGAGAUACUGCUCCUAGGAAAGCACUCCAGAUCCCCAUGGUCACAAGCAGAGGGGAAAGAGGAGCUCAGCUCCUUCUAUACUGGAAGACAGCAGUCCUCCAAGCCAAUACUCUGUCCUGAAGAAGUCUAACCACCUGUGUUUAUAAGAGGAUAUGAAGUAGCAGGGACUCAUCCCCACUUUUACCUACUGCAUGGCUAGCUAUGGCUAUGCUUGAAGACAUAAGGAAUAUAAGCAGUUUGUCUGCUGUCCCAGUUUUCCCUCCCUGGCGGUAGCCCAUCCCUAGGAAGUGGGAUGGACACCACUCAGGAGACAAGCUGAAAAGUCUUACUCUUCUCCUUGUGCCCAAGAGGGGUCUUUACAUCUGUUUCAUUUUCUGGUUAUCCUACCAGGAGUCAUGGGUACAGUGAGUUUAACCCUGUAGAUGCAAUAGCCACAGACAUUUAUUCUAGGUCGACUGGCACUGAACUCUAGCUACUAGCCCAUAUGUAUGUUAUCAGGUCUCUUCUGUCUGGAGUUCAAUUAUACAAGUCUACUCAUUGUUCUGUUCAAGUAUCUUAAAAGCAACUCAGAUUUGAGGGGCCCUGUUGUCAGUACAUCAAUGGCAUCAACGUAAACCCAUCAUCACAAACUGAGAAGUCACAGGUAACCACACAGUGGGAAGCAUUCACAGGCAUGUGAUAGACAU